rnacentral:rRNA from 1 species
AAAACAUGGUUUUAAGAAUUUAAUUUAAAAUUAGACCUGUCCAAUGAAUUAAAUUUUAAUGACUGCAGUAAUUUAACUGUACUAAGGUAGCAUAAUCAAUUGUUUUUUAAUUAAAAACUUGAAUGAAUGGUUAGAUGAGAUAUAUACUUUAUUAAAUUAAAAUUUUGAAUUUAAAGUUUGAGUAAAAAUGCUUAAAUAUUUUAAUUAGACGAUAAGACCCUAUAAAAUUUAAUUAUUUUUAUUAAUAAAUUUAUUUAAGUUUUAAUUUUUAUUUUAAAAAUUAUUUUAUUGGGAGGAUUAUUUAAAUAUGUAACUUAAUAUUAAUAUUUACAUUAAUUUAUGAUUUAAAGAGUUUUUAUUUAAAAUUGUUAAAUUAAAUUACUUUAGGGAUAACAGCAUAAUAUUUUUUGAUAGAUCUUAUAUAUAGAAAUGUUU